rnacentral:lncRNA from 1 species
GACUCAAAAGCAGAUUAAAUAUGUUCCAUAGAAUAACAAACAACAAAAUUGCCAUACCACAUACUGACAUUAAUUAAAAGCCAAUCAAACACCAGGUCUAGCCACGAACAAACAUACCGACAAAUUCGAUGCAGCAAAGACAGUUACAAAUUUUCAUUUUUCUGCCAAACUAUAAAAGACUGGAACAAAUUACCAGAACCAAUAGCCUGCAGCACCACUACUGAGUGCUUCAAGGAGAAACUCACUAGAGAGAUGCUCCUUGACACUUACAAACACCUACAUGUAUAAAAGAGGGACGAAAGAUACCAAAGGGACAGUCAAACUCAUAAAUCUAAAACAAACUGACAACGCCAUGGCUAAAAAUAAAAAAGACAAACAGAAAAACAAUAGUACACACGACACAACAUAGAAAACUAAAGAAUAAACAACAUGAACCCCACCAAAAACUAGGGGUGAUCUCAGGUGCUCCGGAAGGGUAAGCAGAUCCUGCUCCACAUGUGGCACCCGUCGUGUUGCUUAAGUGAUUACAAAUCCGGUAAAUAGUCUAAUUCGGUAGGUCAUAUUCAUGAAAGGGAAGG